rnacentral:rRNA from 1 species
CAGCCUGCCAGUGACUCUGUUCAACGGCCGCGGUAUCCUAACCGUGCGAAGGUAGCGUAAUCACUUGUUCUUUAAAUGUGGACUAGUAUGAAUGGCACUACGAGGGUUAUACUGUCUCCUUUUUCUAAUCAGUGAAACUAAUUUUCCCGUGAAGAAGCGGGAAUAAAAAUAUAAGACGAGAAGACCCUAUGGAGCUUUAAACAACCCAGCAAUUACUUCUAAAAUUUUAAAUUUCAGAAUAUUCAUUUUCUAAGUAAUAUGUCUGCAAGUUUUUGGUUGGGGUGACCAUGGAGAAUAACACAACCUCCAUAUUGAAUGAAUUCCCUUCUAAGCUAAAAAUUACUUAUUGAAGCAUCAAUACACUGACAUCUAUUGACCCAAUAUAUUUGAUCAACGAACCAAGUUACCCUAGGGAUAACAGCGCAAUCCACUUCAAGAGCCCCUAUCGACAAGUGGGUUUACGACCUCGAUGUUGGAUCAGGGUAUCCCAGUGGCGCAGCCGCUACUAAAGGUUCGU